rnacentral:rRNA from 1 species
AUUGAACGCUGGCGGCAGGCCUAACACAUGCAAGUCGAACGAGUGGCGGACGGGUGAGUAAUGUCUGGGAAACUGCCCGAUGGAGGGGGAUAACUACUGGAAACGGUAGCUACUACCGCAUACCAUCGGAUGUGCCCAGAUGGGAUUAGCUUGUAGGUGAGGUAACGGCUCACCUAGGCGACGAUCCCUAGCUGGUCUGAGAGGAUGACCAGCCAAACUGGAACGGAGAGACGGGCCAGACUACUACGGGAGGGAGCAGUGGGGAAGAUUGGAGAAUGGGCGGAAGCCUGAUGCAGGCAUGCAGCGGGUAUGAAGAAGGUCUUCGGGGUGUAAAGUACUUGCAGCGGGGAGGCGUUACCCGCAGAAGAAGCACCGGCUAACUCCGGGCCAGCAGACGCGGGAAUUC